CUUACUUACGCUGCUUUUUCGCCAAGGACAGGUGAAGAAUGAAUGCAGUAAAAUACGGCAGCCUCGUAUGCUGGAUCCUAAAUGGGAACUGCUCCAAGGGAAAAGGACCAAAUCUCCAGUGUUGUAUGAAAUCCAGCAUGAUGGCCUCAUAGACGCUGCCGAUCCAGGUGUUCUCAUCAUACAGGUGAUCCUGGGAGAAGGCCAUGCUGUUCCAGGCCCCUCCUUCCCCCCCGCCGAGUUUUCCUCUCCAGCAUCCUCAGGACAAAGCUCUCCUUCCUUUUGCAUCAUGAAGGACACAACAAUAAAAUUACAAUCAAUGUAAAGUAUUAGAAAGUUGAAAUGAAAAAUAAAAGCCAAAGCACAAGACCCA
rnacentral:lncRNA from 1 species